CUCCCAUUCCACUACUCCCCUCAUGGAAUAUUGAUUGAUCUUGCAUUGCUAAUAAAAUCAUAAGUCCAUUUAUAUAUAGCAACAUUUUGUUAAUUUCAUUUCCAAAUAAAUAAGUCGAAUCAACAAUUCAUAGACUAUACACCCAUACAAGUAGAAAUGAUUAUGUAAGCAUUAUAAGCAUGACCUACAAUACAAAGAAAUGUUAUAUUAAAAGCUUUUUUGAUCCAGCAAAAAGGGUGUGCCUACACGCCAAAAUAAGUUGCUAAACAACCAAAGUCAUAGCCCAAUCAAAGCGUCUUUACCUCAAGUAGAAUAAUUACUCUGACACGUCGGCAAUUCGGCAGGUUUCGUGCACCGAGAGCGACAUCCUGUACUAUAUACACUUUGUUUUUAUUGUUACAAAGACGAAAACUUCCUGGGCGUGUGACAAUAAAGAAUUCAUGUUGGUUGGCCUUGUAAAAACCAGAUUUGACCGGUCUUGUUAGCAUGGGUGAAUGACGUCAUGUGGCCUUAACUUCUUACAAUACCAAUUUUUUUUACUGUCUGCAUAAUAUUAUUGUGCCGAUGGCUAUUCAGGGUUAGCCUUGGAAAAACCUAUUCCAGGUGUAGACAUAAGAAGGGUGCAGCCGGGGAAAGGUCGAAAUUGCUUGAUCUUUUCAAUUAAGCUAGUUAUUUUGGAAUUCAAGAAAGUAAGCGGCCUGUUCGUUGAGACUACUUAAUUACAUUGACAUUAAUGUUCAGACGGGGGCAUUCUUCACCCAGUUUAAAUACUGUAUUUCUAUAUCAUUCACUGUAUAUAUUGUUCACACGGAAUUAAUUAUCAAAUUUUCAAGAUCAAUUUUCAAGACCAUCUUGUGCCUGUGAAGUUCCCUGUGAAUCAAUGCUUCAUUAUUUUUACAUUGUCCCCAAUUACAUUGCCCUACGACCAACCUUAUAUACUCUCGGCUGCUGCACAAUUACUAAGGGGGUAAAGAAGACACUGGACUCAGAGUGUCAAAAGACUAACUUGCUUCUUUUUGGGUCCAGUAAAUUGACGUGAAACGGAAAUACAUAUCUUUUUAAUUAAAAGUGCUCAGAAUUAUAUGAGGGAAUGUUGUCGUUUUUCACAGCUUACUGAUGUGCAUGUGUGUGUGUGUGUUCUUGUGUCCUUAUUAUAUUUCUAUUUACUUGUCAUAUACGUACUACUUGUUGUUGUAUUGUGUGUUCUAAUUUUUUAUUUAUGUAAAUAGCGUAAGCCCCCCAGAUGAGCAUAUCUGUUAAUGCGAGUCAACGCAUGAAUUUAUAAUUUCAUUAAUAUGUUUCAAUAUAUAUAUUGUUGCCUUUUAUCAACGUAUGAGGGUCCUAUGCUUUAACUGCUAUAUAUGAUCUUCACAUAAAAGCAACCCAAAAUGGCAGAUUACCUUAAUUCAGGGGUGUAUAUAGUGGAAGGGUGUCUCAAGGUGAAGGUAGCAUCCUUUUGAGUUUUGUUAAAUUUUCUUUCUGUUUGUAGAAGUUGAGCACAUCUUAUGCUUUUUAUCAAGGCGGAAAUAAUCUUUGAUAAUAUUAAAAUAUUUAAUUUGCUUAUUGAGUAUGAUUUGGCAUCAUUGUACAAUAAA